GAUGAACGCUGGCGGCGUGCCUAAUACAUGCAAGUCGAGCGAACAGACGAGAAGCUUGCUCCUCUGACGUUAGCGGCGGACGGGUGAGUAACACGUGGAUAACCUACCUAUAAGACUGGGAUAACUUCGGGAAACCGGAGCUAAUACCGGAUAAUAUAUUGAACCGCAUGGUUCAAUAGUGAAAGACGGUUUUGCUGUCACUUAUAGAUGGAUCCGCGCCGCAUUAGCUAGUUGGUAAGGUAACGGCUUACCAAGGCGACGAUGCGUAGCCGACCUGAGAGGGUGGUCGGGCAGACGGGAAGUGAGACACGGUCCAGACUCCUACGGGAGGCAGCAGUAGGGAAUCUUCCGCAAUGGGCGAAAGCCUGACGGAGCAACGCCGCGUGAGUGAUGAAGGUCUUCGGAUCGUAAAACUCUGUUAUUAGGGAAGAACAAAUGUGUAAGUAACUAUGAACAUCUUGACGGUACCUAAUCAGAAAGCCACGGCUAACUACGUG
rnacentral:rRNA from 1 species